GGCCACUGUGGCGUUAGGUGAUAGGAAAAAUAUAAAAAGAGGAGUCGUUAUGCUUAGGAAGACACUGGACUGCAACAAUCACAAAACAUGGUAAUCAAAUCCAGUUUAAUAGCACUAAGCACUUAAAACACUUGUGAUGCUGACUUAUUCUUUUCUUUCAAAGAAAUCCUAUUAAGAACGAAAGGUCCUCUAUGUGAUUACGUGACUUGACGGUUGUACGUCUUCUAUUGCAUCGUUGGUAGGCUCAUACAACCAUCCUAAAGUUAUACAGAGGUGAAGAGUUACUUCACUGGAACUGCAAUUUUGCUCAAAUCGGACAUCGGAAGUACUGUGCAUGAAGGUAAGUAUUAUUUUCUCUCAAAGUGACCUCUCCCAUGAACAUUGGAGGCCUCUUAAGAUAUGACCUCUUAAUUUCGUAGCCACACUUGAGUUCUGAAAUUGUAUAGACAGUUCUCAUUUGUUCAUAGAUCAAUAUCUUCAUUUCCAGAUCUAAUACUGUUGAGUUCUUCUUACUGACAUUCAGUGUCAACGUGCUCUUGUUCAUUUGCAAUGAAAACUUCGUAAUGCGGACUUCCGACUCUUCUACUCUAGUAGAGCGGAAAUGGUCAGCAUGACGAAUAUUAUUAUUAUUUUCACUUUAGUACAAGUACACCCCGCUGGCCACUAAAGACCUUAAGUACAAUGAAACUUACCUGCAGUCUUCACCCCAUGUAAUGUAUUGAAAGUAGAUCACACUCUUGCUACAAAAUCCAGAAAGAAAAUCUCAUUCAAACACUACAAAAAUACCAAACGACCAACGAGAGAGCGACACACAAAAUGACGUACAUAUAUAGGUGUAUAUAUCAUCAAACAUUUCUUAAAUGGCCACGAAUUUACCAUUAGGUUUUGUUGGUUCCAGCAACAGACUCAUAAGAAAUUGGAAAAUGUAUACAUCUGUUGACAUUAGGUAAAAACAGAAGUUUUUGUGGUGUUUGUUACACGUUGCUAUCCAAGCCACACUAUGAUACUCGUUAACGCUACUACAGCCAAUUAGGUUACACAUAUCUCUUAUCGUCUUAAUAUCAUCUCUGUUGAAAUUGCAACAUCUUUUCCUUCACCGUUUCUCUUGGAAUCGUUAACUCCUUCACACAGUUGUGUUAAUUGUGGACUCACACAUUCGUAGAAUUUUUUAAAAGACUUCAUAUUCCUAGUGACUGUACAUUUAUUAUAAUAUCCACUAUUGCAGCUUCGACUUUCUGGUCAUUUUCAAGUGGUUACGGGCGCCGAAGAGACGGCAGUAGUCAUCGUUCAUAAAGAGAAUAAAAACGACUUGAACCUCUAUGGCUCGUGUCAGCCUUUGUCGCACACACCAUCGUUAUGUGACAGAUAGAAUAGGAUAAAAACACGUUAAUGCUGACUACUACUGCGUUUUCAGCACCUGUAACCAUUUGAAAAUGACUAAAAGGUCGAAACUGCAAUAAUGAAUAUUGUAACAAACGUAUAGUCUUGGUGAAUAUGAAGUAUUUAAAAAAAAGGGGUAACCUUCUUGUUUUAUCAGUCAGGUGACAUUCUCUCUCUGUUGAGUUACACUCCGUCGAUAGUCUAUCCUUUCGAUCAGGAGUAUCAUUGUGUUAUGUGUCUGUCAUUGUAAUAAGUUUUUUGUUGAUUACAGUAGUACAGCUGUGCCAAUGGAGAUAAGCAUUUAGCAAUCGACUGGAAGGGGGCAGUCCUCAGAGCUAACGAGAUACCACAGCUCACUGUUGGUGAUGCCGCGGCUCCAGUUUGGUUCUUGAGCAGCCGUAACAGGAGCCGCAAACGACGUUCACCUCGCAGAGUCCAAGGAUGUCUCCACUGGACAGUCAUCUGCAUCAUGUAGCAGCCUACCACAACGUGAAUAUGAGGCGGCUGUGGCUGCAGCGGCGACGUCUGAGGAGAAAGUGGCGGACUGAAAGUGCUUUGAGGGCCCGCGGUGAAUGGCGGCGGGUGGCCCGGACGUCGUCAAUGGCAGCUCAGUGUUGGUGUUGAUGCUGACUUGUCAACAACGCCAUCAUUCUCACUUGUAAUGGAGUCAUCUGUUACACAUCUGAACUAAUAUGGACGGAGGUGCAUAGAGGACGUCCGUGCCACUUACAACAGUUCAUUCAUCUAUUGACUGCGACUCAUAAUGGUUGCACUUCCCACAGUGCGUCCACAAAGAUACUGCAAAUCUGACUUCUGGUUGUCGUGAGUGAAGCAUAAUGAUAACGCUUCAAGAAAAGGCUCAGUGUGUGGAAUGGUUCACUUAGAUCAAAUCGGAAGAAUAGAGUCAAAGGGAACUUCCAGGCACGGUAUCGGAAACACCCACCCUCGCAGACGUCGGUACGCAGGUGGUACAGACGUUUUAUGCAAACAGCAAGCGUUGAGUUGAAGCAUAGUGGACGACGUGGAACAAGUGAACCCGAAACAGGAUGGAUACGGUAGGCAUUUCAACGUUCUCCACAGAAGUCUGUUCAGAGUUCAUCGCAGCAGCUGCAAAUCCCUGGAGCGACAGUGCAUCGGGUCCUUCGGCGACGUGUGCGUGUGUAUCCAUGCCGGCUGCAGUUGUUAUAAGUAUUGACACCAGAUUACGAGCCACAACGUAUGCAGUUCGUCGUGGACGUUCUUUACAGUUUAGAGAAGGAUGGAUAUUUUCUAAACAAUCUAGAAUUUUCUGACGAAGAAACAUUUCACUUUUGUGGUACGGUAAACAAACACAAUGUUUGCGUUUGGGGCACAAUCAAUCCUCCGCAUACUGUGACGGAUGAAGUACGUUGCCGCCCGAAAGUGAAUGUGUUGUUUGAUCGCAUUGUGGGAC